CCUACGGGAGGCAGCAGUGGGGAAUAUUGGGCAAUGGAGGAAACUCUGACCCAGCAAUGCCGCGUGAAUGAAGAAGGUCUUCGGAUUGUAAAGUUCUUUAGUCAGGGAAGAAUAAAAUGACGGUACCUGAAGAAUAAGCUCCGGCUAACUACGUGCCAGCAGCCGCGGGAAUACGUAGGGAGCAAGCGUUGUUCGGAAUGACUGGGCGUAAAGGGUGCGUAGGCGGUUAUACAAGUUAGAAGUGAAAUACCCAGGGCUUAACUCGGGUGCUGCUUCUAAAACUGUAAGACUUGAGUGAAGUAGAGGGUAGUGGAAUUCCUAGUGUAGCGGUGGAAUGCGUAGAUAUUAGGAGGAACACCAGAGGCGAAGGCGACUAACUGGACUGCAACUGACGCUGAGGCACGAAAGUGUGGGGAGCAAACAGGAUUAGAUACCCUUGUAGUC
rnacentral:rRNA from 1 species